CAUCCCUGGAGACAUCCCAGGCCAGGCUGGACGGGGCUCUGAGCACCCUGAGCUGGUGAAGAUGUCCCUGCUCAUGGCAGGGGGGGCACUGGGGGAGCUGGGAAGGGCCCUUCAACACAAACCAUUCCAUGAUUUUAUGACCUCACCUCUAUGGUCCCAGGUGCUCAGCAUCCCCGAUUUCCACAUCUCCUGAACCUCUUUCCUCUAUCCACCCCCGCAGUUUGAGCAGCCAGCAGCACAGAACACAACAGGCAGAGAGCCAAAGAGCUUAUUCUUUAAACUUUUAGUUUAACGAGGCUUCUCAAGGAUUUAUUUCUCACCCACCAGAAGCACAGGCUUGACCUCGAGGGAGCCAUUAUAAACCUGGCAGGCUCUCGCUCGUUUCCCCGCUGUUCUGUGCGGGUCCAUCAGGCAUCGCCACCAGAGCUUUCCUUCUCGAUUUAACAGCUUUUGACCCGGGGCAGGAGCACAAGGCUUGAGCAGAAUAAGGAGUUCUCAGGGCAGAACAAGCAUCAGGCUCAUCGCUGACCCCGCCACGGCUGAGUGUCACAAAGGAACCCGAGUACAAUUCCUCAAUACUUUAUGCGCUGGAGUUUUCGGCAUGUGGCCUGUUACAGCCUCCUUUGGGAACCCAAACGGUGGGACAUUUGUCAUUGCUGGUGCCCUGACUCACAUCUGCAAUAAAUAUCUGAACUGUGAUGUGCGUUUUGCACUUCUCACUACCAGCUGCAAAGAUCUCUGCUGUGAAUUUUAUUUUCCUUCAUUUACAGGCCACAUUAAUAUAUAUUAUCCCCUAUUUUAUGGGAUACAAGAGAAUCCAAAUUUUCAGGGAGGGUCUGUACAUUUUGGCAGAAAUAAUAAUGACUAAACCAGCCUAUUGUUUAACUUUAUUAUUUUCCUUUACCUAUUUCCUUUUCUCUAAGUACUCAUGAGGAGUAAAGCUGACAUUAACCACUCAUCUUUUUCCUUCUACAAAUAAUGAAUCAUUGAAAAUCUCAGCUGCACAAGAUCCAUCAUUACGAAGGAUGAUCUCAAAUCUUCUGGUUUAUUGGUCAUUUGCAUCUACUCUGCCUGCUCUGGUGGCACAAAUUACAUCUAAUUGAAAAAAUUUUAUGAAGUUAUUACAUGGUAAUGUCUGGAAUAUUAAAAGGUGCUAAUGUAUAUGAGGCCAAAGCCUAUUUACUUGUCAUUUCAAGCUCUAUUAGAAGCAUACAAGCAAAAUUUGUUUCUUCCAAGGAAGACAACAUUCAUUUGCAAAUUCUAACAGAGCCUGCAAGUGUCAAACUAAAAUUAGAGUGUUUCCUUUUAAAAUUCAUAUUUGAAAAUCUAAUUCAGAAAGGAAAGCUCUGACUUCCAUGAGAGAUGUAGAGACAACUUCAGACAUAGAUGAAGUCAGUACAUUCUAGAUAUGAAAAUCAGGCACAAAUUAAUCAGACAGGAGAAAGUCACUCAACCAUUGAGACGGAUGCAAAAGAAACCCCAUGAAAAUCUUCAUUUUCUCUGAGGAUUGCACAUUUAGAGAAAGUUUUAUUUUAAAAAAGGGAAAAAAAAAUCUGGCUUUUUCUACAAUGAGCUGACCGCAUGUUUGUUGUUAGACUCUUAUGC